rnacentral:rRNA from 1 species
AAUCAACGCUGGCGGCGUGCCUCAGACAUGCAAGUCGAACGCGAAAUUUCCCUUCGGGGAGAAAGUAGAGUGGCGCACGGGUGAGUAACACGUAGGUAGUUUGCCUUUGGGUGGGGAAUAACUCAGGGAAACUUGAGCUAAUACCGCAUAAUGCAGCGGCUCGACAUCGAGACAGUUGUUAAAGCGGGGGAUUGGAGCAAUCCGACCUCGCGCCUAAAGAGAAGCCUGCGGCAGAUUAGCUAGUUGGUAAGGUAAUGGCUUACCAAGGCGACGAUCUGUAACCGGCCUGAGAGGGCGGUCGGUCACACUGACACUGACAUACGGGUCAGACUCCUACGGGAGGCAGCAGUCGGGAAUUUUGGGCAAUGGGCGCAAGCCUGACCCAGCAACGCCGCGUGAAGGACGAAAUUUUUCGGAAUGUAAACUUCGCAAGAACAGGAAGAAUAAGUGUGGGACAAUACCCCACAUGAUGACGGUACUGUUUGUAAGCUCCGGCUAACUCCGU